AACUUUAAUAGUUACAACUUUCAACAACGGAUCUCUUGGUUCUGGCAUCGAUGAAGAACGCAGCGAAAUGCGAUAAGUAGUGUGAAUUGCAGAAUUCAGUGAAUCAUCGAAUCUUUGAACGCACAUUGCGCCCCUUGGUAUUCCAUGGGGCAUGCCUGUUCGAGCGUCAUUUGU
rnacentral:rRNA from 1 species